rnacentral:rRNA from 1 species
UACGGAGGGUGCGAGCGUUGUCCGGAUUUAUUGGGUUUAAAGGGUGCGUAGGCGGCUUAUUAAGUCAGUGGUGAAAGCCGACAGCUUAACUGUUGAAAUGCCAUUGAUACUGAUGAGCUUGAGUGCAUACGAGGCAGGCGGAAUUGAUAGUGUAGCGGUGAAAUGCAUAGAUACUAUCAGGAACACCGAUUGCGAAGGCAGCUUGCUAGACUGCAACUGACGCUGAGGCACGAAAGUGUGGGGAUCAAACAGG